GACGAGUCGAGUUGUUUGGGAAUGCAGCUCAAAAUGGGUGGUAAAUUUCAUCUAAAGCUAAACAUUGGCCAGAGACCGAUAGCGCACAAGUAGAGUGAUCGAAAGAUGAAAAGCACUUUGAAAAGAGAGUUAAACAGUAUGUGAAAUUGUUGAAAGGGAAGCGCUUGCAACCAGACUUGCGCAUAGCGGCUCCCCCGGUCUUCUGACCGGGCCAUUCCGCUUUGUCCAGGCCCAGCAUCGGUCGGGGUGGUUGGUCAAAGGCCCUGGGAAUGUAUCUGACCCUCCGGGGCCAGACUUAUAGCUCAGGGCGUAAUGCAGCCUACCCGGACCGAGGAACGCGCUUCGGCUCGGAUGCUGGCGUAAUGGUUGUAAGCGGCCCGUCUUGAAACACGGACCAAGGAGUCUAACAUCUAUGCGAGUGUUAGGGUGUCAAACCCUUGCGCGGAAUGAAAGUGAACGGAGGUAAGAACCCUCAAGGGCGCAUUAUCGACCGAUCCUGAUGUCUUCGGAUGGAUUUGAGUAAGAGCAUAGCUGUUGGGACCCGAAAGAUGGUGAACUAUGCCUGAAUAGGGUGAAGCCAGAGGAAACUCUGGUGGAGGCUCGCAGCGGUUCUGACGUGCAAAUCGAUCGUCAAAUUUGGGUAUAGGGGCGAAAGACUAAUCGAACCAUCCGCAUGGCUUUCUCGAUACGACGGUACGGAAAUCAUCGGCCUUUGCUUUGAUUAAGUUCGGGCAGCUGAAGCGAUUUUUGGCAACUGUGUCGAGACUACAGCGAGUAUACUUAUCAGCCCUUGAUGUUCUAUGGACAUUGGUAAGAAGAGGGGCAGCAUCAAUACCGUUGUUACCAGGUGGCUCUAGGGUCGACCAGCUAAAAAUGUUAGUUGGUAAAGUCUGCUGUUUUGCGGUGGGCGACGCUACUAGUUCCGGGGGAGCUUUAGGUCGUUUAUUCGACUCGGUAAUCCUGAGCUUACUGUUUCAAUGGCGGUAAGUGCACAGACUAAACCGUGGCGGCUGAUUAUUGUGUCAGUUAUAAUAUAGUCGGGUUAAAUUUGUAUGUGGGUCUCGGUGGCUAUAUACGUCGUGUGGGUUUUCAAGAGGAUGUGAAGAAACCCGUAUGUAGAGGGCCUAGACGCACGU
rnacentral:rRNA from 1 species